rnacentral:lncRNA from 10 species
GCCCUUCUGAGCACAGGAGGUGAAAGUGGAUUACACAAUGGCCAUUGCUGUCAUACUUUUUCUCUAACCAGUAAUUAGUUUAGUAAUUGGUCUGAGACGCCACCUAGGUGAUGAGCUGUAAGGGCUUGGGGACCUCUGUAGUGAGAUGUGACUCCUGUGACUGUCACCUCCACCAAGCCCCCCUCCCUCACCCUCCACCCUUACUCUUGGAGGAGGAUGAAAUCUUACACUGAACAAAGCUGAGUGGAAAGACAGCAAACACCAGGACUUCGAGGGCUCAGAAUUAGCCUGGUUCCUUUCCAAUCGUGCAUGUGCCGACUUCAGCCAACACUCUCAAGGAUGGCCUGCCUUCAAAUAAUUCAACAGUACUUAGGCCGGGCACAGUGGCUCAAGUGGUAAUUCCAG